GGUUAAGCGACUAAGCGUACACGGUGGAUGCCCUGGCAGUCAGAGGCGAUGAAGGACGUGCUAAUCUGCGAUAAGCGUCGGUAAGGUGAUAUGAACCGUUAUAACCGGCGAUUUCCGAAUGGGGAAACCCAGUGUGUUUCGACACACUAUCAUUAACUGAAUCCAUAGGUUAAUGAGGCGAACCGGGGGAACUGAAACAUCUAAGUACCCCGAGGAAAAGAAAUCAACCGAGAUUCCCCCAGUAGCGGCGAGCGAACGGGGAGCAGCCCAGAGCCUGAAUCAGUGUGUGUGUUAGUGGAAGCGUCUGGAAAGGCGCGCGAUACAGGGUGACAGCCCCGUACACAAAAAUGCACAUGCUGUGAGCUCGAUGAGUAGGGCGGGACACGUGGUAUCCUGUCUGAAUAUGGGGGGACCAUCCUCCAAGGCUAAAUACUCCUGACUGACCGAUAGUGAACCAGUACCGUGAGGGAAAGGCGAAAAGAACCCCGGCGAGGGGAGUGAAAAAGAACCUGAAACCGUGUACGUACAAGCAGUGGGAGCACGCUUAGGCGUGUGACUGCGUACCUUUUGUAUAAUGGGUCAGCGACUUAUAUUGUGUAGCAAGGUUAACCGAAUAGGGGAGCCGAAGGGAAACCGAGUCUUAACUGGGCGUUAAGUUGCAGGGUAUAGACCCGAAACCCGGUGAUCUAGCCAUGGGCAGGUUGAAGGUUGGGUAACACUAACUGGAGGACCGAACCGACUAAUGUUGAAAAAUUAGCGGAUGACUUGUGGCUGGGGGUGAAAGGCCAAUCAAACCGGGAGAUAGCUGGUUCUCCCCGAAAGCUAUUUAGGUAGCGCCUCGUGAAUUCAUCUCCGGGGGUAGAGCACUGUUUCGGCAAGGGGGUCAUCCCGACUUACCAACCCGAUGCAAACUGCGAAUACCGGAGAAUGUUAUCACGGGAGACACACGGCGGGUGCUAACGUCCGUCGUGAAGAGGGAAACAACCCAGACCGCCAGCUAAGGUCCCAAAGUCAUGGUUAAGUGGGAAACGAUGUGGGAAGGCCCAGACAGCCAGGAUGUUGGCUUAGAAGCAGCCAUCAUUUAAAGAAAGCGUAAUAGCUCACUGGUCGAGUCGGCCUGCGCGGAAGAUGUAACGGGGCUAAACCAUGCACCGAAGCUGCGGCAGCGACGCUUAUGCGUUGUUGGGUAGGGGAGCGUUCUGUAAGCCUGUGAAGGUGUGCUGUGAGGCAUGCUGGAGGUAUCAGAAGUGCGAAUGCUGACAUAAGUAACGAUAAAGCGGGUGAAAAGCCCGCUCGCCGGAAGACCAAGGGUUCCUGUCCAACGUUAAUCGGGGCAGGGUGAGUCGACCCCUAAGGCGAGGCCGAAAGGCGUAGUCGAUGGGAAACAGGUUAAUAUUCCUGUACUUGGUGUUACUGCGAAGGGGGGACGGAGAAGGCUAUGUUGGCCGGGCGACGGUUGUCCCGGUUUAAGCGUGUAGGCUGGUUUUCCAGGCAAAUCCGGAAAAUCAAGGCUGAGGCGUGAUGACGAGGCACUACGGUGCUGAAGCAACAAAUGCCCUGCUUCCAGGAAAAGCCUCUAAGCAUCAGGUAACAUCAAAUCGUACCCCAAACCGACACAGGUGGUCAGGUAGAGAAUACCAAGGCGCUUGAGAGAACUCGGGUGAAGGAACUAGGCAAAAUGGUGCCGUAACUUCGGGAGAAGGCACGCUGAUAUGUAGGUGAAGUCCCUCGCGGAUGGAGCUGAAAUCAGUCGAAGAUACCAGCUGGCUGCAACUGUUUAUUAAAAACACAGCACUGUGCAAACACGAAAGUGGACGUAUACGGUGUGACGCCUGCCCGGUGCCGGAAGGUUAAUUGAUGGGGUCAGCGCAAGCGAAGCUCUUGAUCGAAGCCCCGGUAAACGGCGGCCGUAACUAUAACGGUCCUAAGGUAGCGAAAUUCCUUGUCGGGUAAGUUCCGACCUGCACGAAUGGCGUAAUGAUGGCCAGGCUGUCUCCACCCGAGACUCAGUGAAAUUGAACUCGCUGUGAAGAUGCAGUGUACCCGCGGCAAGACGGAAAGACCCCGUGAACCUUUACUAUAGCUUGACACUGAACAUUGAGCCUUGAUGUGUAGGAUAGGUGGGAGGCUUUGAAGUGUGGACGCCAGUCUGCAUGGAGCCGACCUUGAAAUACCACCCUUUAAUGUUUGAUGUUCUAACGUUGACCCGUAAUCCGGGUUGCGGACAGUGUCUGGUGGGUAGUUUGACUGGGGCGGUCUCCUCCUAAAGAGUAACGGAGGAGCACGAAGGUUGGCUAAUCCUGGUCGGACAUCAGGAGGUUAGUGCAAUGGCAUAAGCCAGCUUGACUGCGAGCGUGACGGCGCGAGCAGGUGCGAAAGCAGGUCAUAGUGAUCCGGUGGUUCUGAAUGGAAGGGCCAUCGCUCAACGGAUAAAAGGUACUCCGGGGAUAACAGGCUGAUACCGCCCAAGAGUUCAUAUCGACGGCGGUGUUUGGCACCUCGAUGUCGGCUCAUCACAUCCUGGGGCUGAAGUAGGUCCCAAGGGUAUGGCUGUUCGCCAUUUAAAGUGGUACGCGAGCUGGGUUUAGAACGUCGUGAGACAGUUCGGUCCCUAUCUGCCGUGGGCGCUGGAGAACUGAGGGGGGCUGCUCCUAGUACGAGAGGACCGGAGUGGACGCAUCACUGGUGUUCGGGUUGUCAUGCCAAUGGCACUGCCCGGUAGCUAAAUGCGGAAGAGAUAAGUGCUGAAAGCAUCUAAGCACGAAACUUGCCCCGAGAUGAGUUCUCCCUGACUCCUUGAGAGUCCUGAAGGAACGUUGAAGACGACGACGUUGAUAGGCCGGGUGUGUAAGCGCAGCGAUGCGUUGAGCUAACCGGUACUAAUGAACCGUGAGGCUUAACCUU
rnacentral:rRNA from 1 species